rnacentral:rRNA from 1 species
GACGAACGCUGGCGGCGUGCCUAAUACAUGCAAGUUGAGCGCUGAAGGUUGGUACUUGUACCGACUGGAUGAGCAGCGAACGGGUGAGUAACGCGUGGGGAAUCUGCCUUUGAGCGGGGGACAACAUUUGGAAACGAAUGCUAAUACCGCAUAAAAACUUUAAACACAAGUUUUAAGUUUGAAAGAUGCAAUUGCAUCACUCAAAGAUGAUCCCGCGUUGUAUUAGCUAGUUGGUGAGGUAAAGGCUAACCAAGGCGAUGAUACAUAGCCGACCUGAGAGGGUGAUCGGCCACAUUGGGACUGAGACACGGCCCAAACUCCUACGGGAGGCAGCAGUAGGGAAUCUUCGGCAAUGGACGAAAGUCUGACCGAGCAACGCCGCGUGAGUGAAGAAGGUUUUCGGAUCGUAAAACUCUGUUGGUAGAGAAGAACGUUGGUGAGAGUGGAAAGCUCAUCAAGUGACGGUAACUACCCAGAAAGGGACGGCUAACUACGUG